rnacentral:rRNA from 1 species
CGCGUAGGUGGUAGUGCAAGUCUGGGGUGGAAUCCCAGGGCUUAACCCUGGAACUGCCUUGGAAACUGUAUUACUUGAGUCAGUGAGGGGAGGGUAGAAUUCCUGGUGUAGCGGUGAAAUGCGCAGAUAUCAGGAGGAAGGCCUGUGGCGAAGGCGGCCCUCUGGCGCUGAACUGACACUGAGGCGCGAAAGCGUGGGUAGCAAACAGGAUUAGAUACCCUGGUAGUCCACGCCCUAAACGGUGGGUACUAGGUGUGGGGCUCGUAAGGGUUCUGUGCCGAAGCGAAAGCAUUAAGUACCCCGCCUGGGGAGUACGGCCGCAAGGUUGAA